CAAUAGCGUAUAUUAAAGUUGUUGCGGUUAAAAAGCUCGUAGUUGGAUUUCUGCUGAGAACGACCGGUCCGCCCUUUGGGUGUGUAUCUGGCUCUUUCUUGGCAUCUUCUUGGUGAACGUUGCUGCACUUGACUGUGUGGAGCGCUACCCAGGACUUUUACUUUGAGGAAAUUAGAGUGUUUCAAGCAGGCAUACGCCUUGAAUACAUUAGCAUGGAAUAAUAAGAUAGGACCUCGGUUCUAUUUUGUUGGUUUCUAGAGCUGAGGUAAUGAUUAAUAGGAACAAUCGGGGGCAUUAGUACUUGCCAGUCAGAGGUGAAAUUCUAAGAUUUGGCAAAGACUAACUGAUGCGAAAGCGUUUGCCAAGGAUGUUUUCAUUAA
rnacentral:rRNA from 1 species